UACGAAGGGGGCGAGCGUUGUUCGGAUUUACUGGGCGUAAAGGGCGCGCAGGCGGCUCAUUUUGUCAGAUGUGAAAUCCCCGGGCUCAACCUGGGAACUGCAUUUGUGACUGCAAGGCUAGAGUACGGUAGAGGGGGAUGGAAUUCCGCGUGUAGCAGUGAAAUGCGUAGAUAUGCGGAGGAACACCGAUGGCGAAGGCAAUCCCCUGGACCUGUACUGACGCUCAUGCACGAAAGCGUGGGGAGCAAACAGG
rnacentral:rRNA from 1 species